UCUGGUAGUUAUGGCGAGAAGGUCACACCCGUUCCCAUCCCGAACACGGUAGUUAAGCUUCUCUGCGCCAAUGGUAGUUGGGGGCU
rnacentral:rRNA from 2 species